UCCCGAACCUUCAGGUUCAGAAUGUCCAAUUCCCAAAAUGUCCAUUUCCCGAAAUGUCCAAUUCCCGAAAUGUCCAAUUCCUGAAAUGUCCAGUUCCCGAAACGUCCAAUUCUCAAAAUGUCCAAUCUAUUAUUAUGAUGGGUUUAUUAAAUAAGUCCUCAUAGCCUUUCUUAAAAAUUAGUAAUUAAUAUAUUUCUGUACGAAUGCGUUUAGUUUUUGCAAAAUCGGCAUAUAAACAUAGAAAAAUAAAUUGUAUUAUUUGCAAAAAGUACGUAGAAAAAAUUUGAAGCUACUGCACUUUAUACUCAUACAAGUAUGUAUAGUUAUUUAUAUUUUUUUCUAUUGACCUAAAAAGGAAAGAAUAAUUUGUAAAUAAAUAAAUGAUUAUUUAAAUUUAAGUAUGGUUAUUUAUUAAAUAUUUUUAAGAAAGCCUAUGAAUGAGGAAUUAUUUAAGAAACCCAUCAUAAUAGUAGAUUGGACAUUUUGGGAAUUGGACGUUGUUGGAAUUAUGGGCGGAAAUACAAAUUCGAGAGUGAUUUUAACAGAUAGUUUUAUUUCUACUUAGACACAGAGAAAAGUACAGAGCGAGAGACAAAAGACAGUUUUGACAGUUUGGUUUUUUUUUAAACCAAAGACCUUUAUGACAUUGUGUUUACAAAGCAGGUUCCAAUAGACGUUUCGGGAACUGGACAUUUCAGGAAUUGGACAUUUUGAGAAUUGGACAUUUUGGGAAUUGGACAUUCCGAGAAUUGGACGUUUUGAAACCGUUGGACGUUUUGGGAAUUGGACAUUCUGAACCUGAAGG